GAAAUGCGAUAAGUAAUGUGAAUUGCAGAAUUCAGUGAAUCAUCGAAUCUUUGAACGCACAUUGCGCCCGCCAGUAUUCUGGCGGGCAUGCCUGUUCGAGCGUCAUUACAACCCUCAGGCCCCCGGGCCUGGCGUUGGGGAUCGGCGGAAGCCCCCUGCGGGCACAACGCCGUCCCCCAAAUACAGUGGCGGUCCCGCCGCAGCUUCCAUUGCGUAGUAGCUAACACCUCGCAACUGGAGAGCGGCGCGGCCACGCCGUAAAACACCCAACUUCUGAAUGUUGACCUCGAAUCAGGUAGGAAUACCAGCUGAACUUAAGC
rnacentral:misc_RNA from 1 species